GCAAGUCGAGCGGCAGCGCGGGGGCACCCUGGCGGCGAGCGGCGAACGGGUGAGUAAUGUAUCGGAACGUACCCAGUCGUGGGGGAUAACUAUCCGAAAGGAUAGCUAAUACCGCAUACGUCCUGAGGGAGAAAGCGGGGGACCGUAAGGCCUCGCGCGAUUGGAGCGGCCGAUAUCGGAUUAGCUAGUUGGUGAGGUAAAGGCUCACCAAGGCGACGAUCCGUAGCUGGUCUGAGAGGACGACCAGCCACACUGGAACUGAGACACGGUCCAGACUCCUACGGGAGGCAGCAGUGGGGAAUUUUGGACAAUGGGGGCAACCCUGAUCAGCCAUUCCGCGUGAGUGAAGAAGGCCUUCGGGUUGUAAAGCUCUUUCGGCAGGAACGAAACGGUGGCCCCUAAUACGGGCUACUAAUGACGGUACCUGAAGAAGGAGCACCGGCUAACUACGUGCCAGCAGCCGCGGUAAUACGUAGGGUGCGAGCGUUAAUCGGAAUUACUGGGCGUAAAGCGUGCGCAGGCGGUUAUGUAAGACAGGUGUGAAAUCCCCGGGCUUAACCUGGGAACUGCGCUUGUGACUGCAUAACUCGAGUGUGGCAGAGGGGGGUGGAAUUCCACGUGUAGCAGUGAAAUGCGUAGAGAUGUGGAGGAACACCGAUGGCGAAGGCGCCCCCUGGGUCACACUGACGCUCAUGCACGAAGCGUGGG
rnacentral:rRNA from 1 species